rnacentral:rRNA from 1 species
GGGGAAUAUUGCGCAAUGGGGGAAACCCUGACGCAGCAAUACCGCGUGAGUGAAGAAGGUUUUCGGAUUGUAAAGCUCUGUUAUUGGGGAAGAAAAAAAGACGGUACCUAGAGAAGAAGCCCCGGCUAACUUCGUGCCAGCAGCCGCGGUAAUACGAAGGGGGCUAGCGUUGUUCGGAAUUACUGGGCGUAAAGCGCACGUAGGCGGACAUUUAAGUCAGAGGUGAAAUCCCAGGGCUCAACCCUGGAACUGCCUUUGAUACUGGGUGUCUUGAGUACGAGAGAGGUGAGUGGAAUUCCGAGUGUAGAGGUGAAAUUCGUAGAUAUUCGGAAGAACACCAGUGGCGAAGGCGGCUCACUGGCUCGUAACUGACGCUGAGGUGCGAAAGCGUGGGGAGCAAACA